rnacentral:rRNA from 1 species
AGAGUUUGAUCAUGGCUCAGGAUGAACGCUAGCUACAGGCUUAACACAUGCAAGUCGAGGGGGCAGCAUGUUGGUUGCUUGCAACCAACGAUGGCGACCGGCGCACGGGUGAGUGACGCGUAUCCAACCUACCCUUGUCCAUCGGAUAACCCGUCGAAAGGCGGCCUAACACGAUAUGCGGUUCACAGCAGGCAUCUAACGUGAACGAAAUGUGAAGGAGAAGGAUGGGGAUGCGUCUGAUUAGCUUGUUGGCGGGGUAACGGCCACAAGGCUACGAUCAGUAGGGGUUCUGAGAGGAACGGUCCCCCACAUUGGAACUGAGAACACGGUCCAAACUCCUACGGGAGGCA